GGUAUUGUUUGACCACAACAUGGUGAGCCCCGGAAACUUAUUAUGUAAUGCCAAACAUCAA
rfam:Enterococcus sp. 6C8_DIV0013 scaffold00001, whole genome shotgun sequence.